rnacentral:ncRNA from 1 species
AAUGAUGGUUUGAUCGCUUUUCAUUAUAGGUCUUAUGGGACUUUUUUUCUACAACAAAAUAGGCUCCAUAAUCCCUGC